UAAGCCUGGAUUGUAAGUGUAGAAAGAGUGUAGUGGGAGGAAAACAAACGCAAAGGUUGUGAUGGAAGCAAAUAAUCGUUAGGAGAUAAUGGCUACAUGUGAGCAGGAAAAGAAAAAUUGUAAGAAGCCUGAGGAGUACGGUUGAUUCUUUUCAGCUGUUGGAGACUCCGCCAUGGAUCGAACCGCAACGAUGUACAUAGACCUGGUCAUUGAAAAGUUUAGCAGAACGUGAAACAUCAACAAUACCAAGAAAUUAAAUGAGCAGUUUCAUUAUAGAACUAAUAACAAUCCAUAUGAACAACAUAAUUUCACUUUUAGCUUGCAACUCUAGCAAAAUCCAGAAAAUUUCAAGUGUCCAAUAUUUGAGUGUAUAUAAAAGGAGAUGCCUAAGCAAUAUCGACAAGAAAUCGUCGGCAUAACCUUCGGUAAUGUCUAAAUUUAUCAACGUAAAUUCUAAGAGCUUGUUAUCAUACAAAAUUCAAGAGAUCUCCAUGAUUGCCUUCAUGAAUAUACAGACCUCGCCAUGAUGAAAUCAAUUUUCUAUUGAUUCAAUUUACAAAGCUCGCCGUUAACCAAAUACCAACGCCGUCGAUUAAAUAAAUUCUUACCUGCGA